rfam:Glossina morsitans morsitans, isolate Yale, WGS project CCAG01000000 data, contig: ctg10013467
ACUGGCCACGCGUAUUCUUAGGUUAUUAACAUGUCUACGAAAUUGUUAUUGCUUGAGAAUACACGUAGUUAAC